rnacentral:antisense_RNA from 1 species
GUCCGGGUGGCCCCCUGGGCACCGCUGUCAGGUUCCGCUGGGUUCAAGUUCUACAGGCUCCGGGUUCCACCGCUCCCGGAUUCCAUCGCCCCCAGGUUCAGUUGCCUUCAGUUUCCUAGGAUCCCAGGUUCCGCACCCUCCAGAGUGCCACCGCUUAGGCGGUUGUGCUAAUCUGCGUCAGCUGGGGCUGUAUUUGGAAGAAGAGGCGCUGCCUCCAAUCAAGUCUGUUUUUUUCAGAGGAAGUUAUUGUCCCAAAGUUGUGUGUCAUGCCUGAAGUGUCUGGGAUCCCUGAGUACCUGUGGUGCCCAAGAGCUAUGAAUCUGCUAUCAUCAACACAGAGGGUACCUUCUGAAUGGGCUAUCUCUGCAGUGAUGCUGCAAAUGGAAGCUAACCCUAGGAUGACUGGCUUCUGACACUUGAGCCAUCCCGUCAUCUGUCAUGGGUUGACCCAUCCAUCCCCUCAAUGAGCUGACCUUGAGGACCACUGACAGAGGAGCAGUCAAUAGAAAUUAAUUGUUAAAUACCCAGAAAAUCUCAAAUGGUAUUUAAUAUGCAGUUCAUCAAAAGCAAAACUUCCUUAAAUUUUCAUCUAGAAAAGUUAUUUAUAAGGGAUGAAUGUAUAAAUAUGUUGUAUGCAAAUAUUAUAUUCAAGGGCAAGACCAUGUAAACAGUUUAAGAAUCCAACGACAGGGAAUUGGAUAAAGACAUCAGAGUGCACUUGUCAAAACACAGCUAUCAAGAAUGAUGAUGUUGAACAACAGUUU